CCUAGCCGCUGCCUCCGCCCGCACUCGCGUCCCCACCCACCCACUCUGCUCUCUUCCUCGAUGCAGGGUGGUCCAGAUGCGGCCGCCCUGUGGUCGGCCUCGAUCCGGCCUCAGCAGGAAGACCUCGAGCCGAGGAGCGCGGCCUCGAUCGGGACUCGGCAGCUGGGGCGGCUUCGGAGGAGGGGAAAGGAGGGGAGCAGCAGCCAGGUGAGGAGGGAGAAAGAGAGAGCAAAGAGGAGUGGCGGAUGACGAGAGGAGGGAGAAAGAGAGAGGAAAUAUGAGAGGGGGGCUAGGAGAGGGAGGCUCGGAGCGGACGGGACAGGGUCGCCGGCCGGCGUCGGCCUGCGCCGGCGAGGUCGCUCACCCAGCUGCCAAGGGGACUGCAGGAACUGGCCGAGGUGGUCCUCGCCAAACAAGCGGGCGGCAGCAAGGUGCUCCCCACGGUGAGGAACGGACGCGCUCAACGCCUUCCUUCCCAACCAGAUAUGAGAAAGAAGAAAUAGGCCCAAGAAAAUUAGUUGUUCAUAUAUUCAUGUGUCAUGCGGAGAAGAACCCAAAUGGAGAACUUGGUAUCCCGAGUAAUGUGCGGGUACAUAAUUAAAAUCAUAGCAAAUAGAAUCAUCUGAAUAUUGUUUGGAGGAUACAAUUCCUCAAAUUGGCUCAUUUAAUUUAGACUGUAUGCCCAGUUAUUGUUGUCUUGGUUACUCCAUUUGUCCAAACCACAAAAUACAUAUUCUUUUCAGUCAUGUAUAUUCGUACUGGCUUAACUAAUUAAUGAAUUCAUCAAAUGCCCUUGCUUAUGAUAGUAUCUCUUUGGCAUUUUCCUCUGCAUGCUUCUUUUCUAGGCUAUCUGUCUUUCCAUACCCUGCUCUCCUUACUUAUUUUAUUAUUAGUCGAAUAUAAUAUCAGAUCACCUACCAUCAUUAUUCUUUAUUACAAUCUCAUAGGAAAGAAGUCUGAUUAGUUGGGUAUUCUUAGCUAGCAUUCAAAAUGGGAUGCUGCGCUGCCAUUAAAUGAGCAUAAAUAUAAUGAGAAGGUGCACACAAAGUGGAGGCUUAGAUUAAUGCUUUAGAGUUUAGCCUGAAUAUAGCCAAGCAGUAUUCUUACUAGGCUGCUGUUUAAGUACCUAUGCAACAAUAUCAGGGGGAUGCAUCACCUAAAAUAUGUAGGGUUUGUAAGCUUGGAGCAAGAGUGCAAUGGAAAAUGUUUACUGUGUUCCGUUAAAACAGGUAAGAAAGUAAUUUAGUUUGGGUGGAUUGAUUAGUUAUAAAAAGUAGAUGGUCCUUUGCUUGGAUCUUUAGGUUUAGUCAUUGCUUUUCUACUUCAAACCGACGGAUUUAUCUUCAGCUAAAAAAAAGACAGCGGGCUUGGUUAGCUUCAAGAAGAAAAAUAUUUCAAAACCGUGAAGCUAUAGAGAAAUAUUCCAUGUCUAUUUCCCUGAUUUCCAGUCCACUUUAUGAAAGCCUGCUGUAACUGUUUGCGUAAGUGGUUGUAUGAUAUGUUUAAUAUGUUGUGUCGGGCUAGACGGAUAUGUUAGCUUGUCUUUGGAAAUAUUCACCUGUUGUGUUCUGCAUUGACCUGCAUUUAUAUUGGCAGCUCUGUUCUUAUUUGUCUCUGUUCUGAUAGUUUUAGGUGAGAACAAAGUAUUUAUAGUUGUGACAUGCACUACAGGCUUUUCAUAAUUAUUAAUUCUUUAAAUGUGACCGUGCCGCCGUGCCGACAGAUAUGUGUGCCUCAGUUUAGUUGAUGUGCCUACCGUGUUUCAGGCCUGUUGUUUUUUCUUGGAUAAUCAUAAAUUGACAGGUGCUUGCUUCUAUUAGUUAAAAACUUAAAAUAUCUUACAUUAGGAUGUACUGUGUUGUGCUUUCAUGCAAUUGUCUUGAUUUAGACAGCAACUGAACCAAGUCACUGAUUAGUAGAAUUAGUCAUGAGAUGAGGCACAGAAGAGUUGAGAGGGGCAGCCGUCGUAUUUACGAUGCAUGAAAGGUGCUCAUGAUUCCAUUCAAGUAAUGGAUAUAUAGUAGUUGCUAAUUAUAUUUAUACUGCUUGCAAGCAUAAUUAGUCUAUUGUCUAUGUAGUUUGCUGAUUAUACACUCUUUUCGUUCGUGUUUCACCCUCCUAAGGCAUUUGUUUUGUCUGCCGCAGGUUGCUUUUGUCCUCUCACCUGCUCUUUGGUCUUCGUCUAUUGCUCUGCUGGCUCGUCAUCUCCUCGGUUGGAGGUUGUUCUUGGUCCUGCCAUUUGUUCUUGUUAGAGCUCACUGAAAAUAUUUGUUCUCACCUAUGCUAAUGCCUUUCGGUUAAACUAGGAAUUAUUUCAUUGUUGGAAGCUUUCAUCUGCAUAUAUGCGUAAGGGGCUAUGUAUUUAUUUUGUUUCAUUCAUUUUUUGGUCUAUUUAUUUUGCACAGAAAACCAUUUGUGGUAUGCUUUGAUGGGUCUUAUUUAAUACAAUACAGACAAAAUUGGAAGUAGUAGCAAACUAGCCAUGAAAAUUUUGAGAGAACUAUGCUAACCACAAGCAAUGAUGUACUCCUGUCAUUUUGCCAUGAUAUUGUAGCCCACUUCCAAGACUCUAUGUACUAAUGUUAGCUACUUGCUUCUUUAGCUUCUCUAAUUAGGAACCAAUUCUCUGUGUGGUUUAUCCUCUUAAAAUUGUUACUAUUCACUUAGUGGGGAAGUGUAAGAAGUAGCUGAUUUUAGAGAACACUACACACCAGAGCAGGAAGCCGAAGUCAGGAAGGAGAAUGCAUGUACCCUUGAGGACUGAAGAAUGAUGUUUAAUCUUGCUUUUGUCUACGCUGCUAUUCUUGGUUCAGAUCCUUACCUUUGGUUCAGUUCCAUGUAGUCUUAUGGAUAGAUGUACAAGUUGGUGAAAACUGAUAACUACCGGAUGGGUUAAUUAAUCGUUGCUGCCCCUAAUUUCGUUUCAGCUUCAUCAACACCUUACAUUGCUUGGUAGAAAUUUAAACUGAACACCAACUUGAUUUAUGUUAUACUCGGCUAAUGGAUUUCUUCAAAUAUACAAAUUCCUCGAGCAAAGUUUACAAUGCUUUUGUGCCACAUAUGAUAUGCUUCACAAUUUUUUUGUAUUUCCUUGUGGAUCGUCCAUUUGAACAAUAUAUAUCAAUGUAAAUAACCUUACAUUUCCUUCUCUUUCAAUCGAUUUAAAGUACUCAUAUAUAAUGAUUACUAAUGACCAGCUGCAGCCACCGCCUAAUCGAACAUUGUUGUACUCAUGGCUUUUGGCAUAUGUGUAUUCCAUUUAGUUACCUUUGCCUAAUGUGUCCUGAUGAGAGGCAUUCUUGUUGCCCUGUACACAGCUUUGCGUUGUAUGAUUGUUACUAUUUCUCCCUGCGUUCUCUCCUUUCCAUUGUUUGACUAUUACAUGAUUAAUAGAUGAACACUCCUAUAUCCGCGAUGAAAGGCAAGGGACAAGCUCCUGUGACUAAAUACCUAGCAAAUCACCGUGCCCUAGGAACUCUCGUCACAAGCUCUUCACUUCGCCUUCCAAAACCAAGUGGCGUGUAUCAAUAAACUUGAAUUUUCCUGGGUUUGAACUAAUAAAUCUAGACUAUGGAGGCGGGGGCGCCCAGCGGAGAGCACAAAUCAGCUUUUUGCUUGAUCCCCUGCUCCAUCAUGGUGGAGUCUCUGAGCAGCUGCCUGAUUGUGAUGAUGUGCUACUGGCGGAGUUGCCGCAUGAGAUUGAAAAGUACAGGUGGUUGCGAAUCUCAGGAUUUGCGUGUCUGACUAUGACAUCCUUGCCGUCGAAGGCGGAAUCAUCUUUCCAGGAUAGGGCUGCUCGACGUAUAAAUAUUUGCAGAAGCAUUCUCAACUUUUCUUAUCUGUACUUUGUUUGGGCAGUAUUUACCCUGUCCUGAGAAUAGCAGAGAUAGACAUGCCUAUGUCUACAGGAAAA